UGAGAUAGGAGUCUGCCAGUCUCUUACCAUGGGUACACUCACUGUUAAAAAGAGCACCUGUUUCUGAAUUACUUCCCCUGAUAAAAAGAUCGUUCUUAGGCCCCUGUUCUAAAAGAGUUGAUUUGGUUGUACUAUUUUUUCAUUAUAAUAACUUUUAGUUCCAUCUAUGAAUCUUGCAUUUGGCUCCCUUGGUUGGAGUAAGACUAUAGCUAAAAUAUGACUAUAGAAAAUGUCUUUUAAGGGGUGGGUUUGGGAAUGGGCAUGCAUAGUUUUGGGCUCAUUAUAUAUUUGGUCAGAUCUAGAUGCAAUAUUUAUUUGAUAGAAAGUGGAAGAUAGGGCAUUACAGUUUCCUUCCACAUUUCUAUAUGACACAAACUUGGUCUUUUAAACUCCAAAUUUGACUCGUCUCAUUCAAUUGGUUGCAUCCUUUAAUGUUGAUAACAGGGUUUUUUAUGAUAUUAUUGUCCUUAAAACUGUUGUGAAUUGUGAUACAUUGUGUUGAGCAUAAUAAGAUUACAAUGAACCUUUAUAUGUGUACUGUGUGGUCAGUUGUUAUUUAAUUAAAAAGUUUAUCACCGCUUUAUUAUUGCAGUUUUUCUGUUAAACAUGUUUAUAAUGAGAUAUGCUUUUAUAUAUUACAGAUGCUUUGAAAUCUGUUCAAUAGAAUAUUUUC
rnacentral:misc_RNA from 1 species